ensembl:lncRNA
AUAUUACGUAUAUAUUACGUAUAUAUUACGUAUAUAAUAAUGUAAAUACAAAAAAAAAAAAGGUAAGACUUUGAGUUCGUCACAUGAUGCUGUAUAACAUUAACAUACAUGUUUUUAUAUAUUAUAUAAAAUAUGUAUAAUACAUAAACAUAUAUAAAUAUGAUACCCAUGUGUACAUAUUGUCCUCGUCCGCAACAUUAAGGUUACUAUUACAAUAAGUAGUUUUUUUUUUUUAAUUUGGAAGUAAAUUGGAGUUUUUAUUAUUGUUGUAAUUUAUAUUGUUAUUAUUUUUUUUUUUUUUUUUUACCUUGCUUAUUUGGCUUGUUUUGUUUAGUUUGUCUUUUUUUCAUUUUCGUUGUUGGUCUUGGACCAUUUUGUUACUUAACAAGUUGUCAUAUACAGAUUUAUUUACAGAUUUAUAUGUACACAAAAAUGGAUGAAUGCGUAAAACUCGUUGAAGAAUAUAUUUCACCUGAACAAGUCAUGUUACAUUAUGGGAAAGAAAAAAAAGUAGAAUUAAUAUAUGAAAAAAAUAAAGAUAAAGAAGAAAAUAAGAUAAGAAAUGAAAUAGUAAAUAAGUUAGUAGUUCUGAUAAAAAAUGACGCAGAGGCGACAGAAAAAAUAAGCGAAUGUGUUAGGGACUUGGUAAGUUUAAGUUCAAAAACGGACAUUUAUAUGAACAGUUCAGGUGAAAUGGAAAAAACAAAUAAAAUUAAUAAAAUUGGCCAAUCUGAUAAAUAUAAAAAAUUAAUCGAAAUAAUUAUAAUAUUACAAAAAUAUUUUUUUUGUAAUGAAAAUUUAAAAAGAGGAUCAGCAGUCCAUUUAUUAGCCCAACUAUUUGAACGUCUGGAUUUAUAUGACUUAAAUAUAGAAUAUUAUAAAGCAAUUAUAUUUUUUUUUGUAAAAAAAAUAAAAGAUUGGCAUUGUGUUAAUGGAGUAGUAAAUUUCUUUUUUAUUAUGUUAAACAAAUAUAGUGAUAUAAUAAAAAUUAUAAAAUACGAUUCUAUGUGUUUUUCACCAGAAUAUAAAAAAUUAUUUAUGGUAAAAAAAAGUAGUGUAAAACAUAUAAACGUGUUUAAUUUAGAAAAAAAAGAAAGUCUCAAUUGUGUUAAUUUUAUUAAUAAUAAUAAUGGUAAUAAUAAUAAUGGUAAUAAUAAUAAUGGUAAUAAUGAUGGUAAUGGUGUUAUGUGUGGUAGUGAUGUUAUGGAUUGCUGUUUAAAAUCGGGAGAAACUGAUGUAAAAUCCGAACUAAACAAUCUAUCAAAU